rnacentral:rRNA from 1 species
AGAUUGAACGCUGGCGGAAUGCUUUACACAUGCAAGUCGAGCGGCAGCGCGGGGCAACCUGGCGGCGAGCGGCGAACGGGUGAGUAAUGCAUCGGAACAUGUCCAUGUCGUGGGGGAUAGCCCGGCGAAAGCCGGAUUAAUACCGCAUACGCCCGAGAGGGGAAAGUGGGGGACCGCAAGGCCUCACGCGAUUGGGUUGGCCGAUGUCCGAUUAGCUAGUUGGCGGGGUAAGAGCCCACCAAGGCGAUGAUCGGUAGCUGGUCUGAGAGGAUGAUCAGCCACACUGGGACUGAGACACGGCCCAGACUCCUACGGGAGGCAGCAGUGGGGAAUUUGGACAAUGGGGGCAACCCUGAUCCAGCCAUUCCGCGUGAGUGAGAAGGCUUCGGUUGUAAGCUCUUUGUCCGAAGAACGGAUGACGUGAAGUAUCGUCGUCUACUGACGUACCGGAAGAAUAAGCACGCUAACUACGUGCCGAGCAGCCG